UACGGGGGGAGCAAGCGUUGUUCGGAUUUACUGGGCGUAAAGGGCGCGUAGGCGGCGCAACAAGUCACUUGUGAAAUCUCCGGGCUUAACUCGGAAAGGUCAAGUGAUACUGUUGUGCUAGAGUGCGGAAGGGGCAACUGGAAUUCUCGGUGUAGCGGUGAAAUGCGUAGAUAUCGAGAGGAACACCUGCGGCGAAGGCGGGUUGCUGGGCCGACACUGACGCUGAUGCGCGAAAGCGUGGGGAGCGAACAGG
rnacentral:rRNA from 1 species